rnacentral:rRNA from 1 species
UACGGGGGGGGCAAGCGUUGUUCGGAAUUACUGGGCGUAAAGGGCCAGUAGGCGGCCAACUAAGUCGGAUGUGAAAUCCCCAGGCUCAACCUGGGAACUGCAUCCGAUACUGGCGGGCUUGAAUCCGGGAGAGGGAUGUGGAAUUCCAGGUGUAGCGGUGAAAUGCGUAGAUAUCUGGAGGAACACCGGUGGCGAAGGCGGCAUCCUGGACCGGUAUUGACGCUGAGGCGCGAAAGCUAGGGGAGCAAACGGG